GGUUCUCCCCGAAAGCUAUUUAGGUAGCGCCUCGUGAAUUCAUCUCCGGGGGUAGAGCACUGUUUCGGCAAGGGGGUCAUCCCGACUUACCAACCCGAUGCAAACUGCGAAUACCGGAGAAUGUUAUCACGGGAGACACACGGCGGGUGCUAACGUCCGUCGUGAAGAGGGAAACAACCCAGACCGCCAGCUAAGGUCCCAAAGUCAUGGUUAAGUGGGAAACGAUGUGGGAAGGCCCAGACAGCCAGGAUGUUGGCUUAGAAGCAGCCAUCAUUUAAAGAAAGCGUAAUAGCUCACUGGUCGAGUCGGCCUGCGCGGAAGAUGUAACGGGGCUAAACCAUG
rnacentral:rRNA from 1 species